UGAGCAACCUGCCCUUGACCCUGGAAUAACAGCUGGAAACAGCUGCUAAUACCGGAUAUGACCUCCGAUGGCAUCAUCUGGAGGUGGAAAGCUCCGACGGUCAAGGAUGGGCUCGCGGCCUAUCAGCUUGUUGGUGAGGUAACGGCUCACCAGGCUUCGACGGGUAGCCGGCUGAGAGGAUGAUCACGCCACAGUUGGGACUGAGACACCGGUCAGUACCG
rnacentral:rRNA from 1 species